rnacentral:rRNA from 1 species
GACGAACGCUGGCGGCGGGCUUAACACAUGCAAGUCGAACGGAAAGGCCCUGCUUUUGUGGGGUGCUCGAGUGGCGAACGGGUGAGUAACACGUGAGUAACCUGCCCUUGACUUUGGGAUAACUUCAGGAAACUGGGGCUAAUACCGGAUAGGAGCUCCUGCUGCAUGGUGGGGGUUGGAAAGUUUCGGCGGUUGGGGAUGGACUCGCGGCUUAUCAGCUUGUUGGUGGGGGAGGGGCUUACCACGGCUUUGACGGGUAGCCGGCCUGAGAGGGGGACCGGCCACAUUGGGACUGAAAGACGGCCCAGACUCCGACGGGAGGCAGCAGUGGGGAAUAUUGCGCAAUGGGCGGAAGCCUGAUGCAGCAACGCCGCGGGCGGGAUGGCGGCCUUCGGGUUGUAAACCGCUUUCGCCUGUAACGAAGCAUGAGUGACGGUAAUGGGUAAAGAAGCACCGGCUAACUACGUGCCAGCAGCCGCCGUAAAAC